UUUAUCUAUUAAUCUCAUUAAUUAUACAAAACCCUUCCAUUGUAUUGAGCACUUUUAUACUAUAUAAAAGAUAUUAUGCUAGAACUAGUAACAAGAAUUUAUCUCCGAAAUGUAAGUAUACCUCAAACACGAAUAUUACUAUAUUUAGUAGUAACCUUCCCCAAGAAACCUCUACUAACCACCAAUAUUAAACUUACACAAGAACACUUCCGGAAAGAUUAAAACAAAAAGAAGGAACUCGGCAAAUUUUAGUCUCGCCUGUUUACCAAAAACAUCACCUCUUGAUUAAAUAUAAGAGGCCCCGCCUGCCCACUGAUCACUUUAACGGCCGCGGUACCCUAACCGUGCGAAGGUAGCACAAUCACUUGUUCUCUAAAUAAGGACCAGUAUGAAUGGCAUCACGAAGACUAUACUGUCUCCUUUCUACAAUCAGUGAAACUGAUCUCCCCGUGAAAAAGCGGGAAUCAUAUUAUAAGACGAGAAGACCCCAUGGAACUUUAAGAAAAUAAUUAACUAUUAUACUAAUACCAUAAAAACUUAACAGACCUAAUUAUUAACUUUCGGUUGGGGUGACCGCGGAGCAAAAUAAAACCUCCGCAAUGAAAGAGCUUAGCCCUAAUUUAAGAAUUACAAUUCAAAAAAUCACCAUAUUGACAUUUAUUGACCCAAACCCUUGAUCAAUGAACCAAGUUACCCUGGGGAUAACAGCGCAAUCCAUUUUAAGAGUCCCUAUCAACAAAUGGGUUUACGA
rnacentral:rRNA from 1 species